rnacentral:tRNA from 1 species
ACAAAAGAAAUGGUUCAAAGCAUGGCAAAAGAUCCAAUUAUCUUUGCAAUGGCAAAUCCAAAUCCGGAAAUCAUGC